GGGACAGGCAAACGUCCUCUGCCCAUUCACUGGAUCCGAAGGGAGUUCUCCGGGGCCCUGGAACUUCUCAGGUUGCGCACCCCCAAGAGACCCCUCAGUCUCCACGAAUGGCUCAGGGAAGGUUUUGCCUCACUUUGCAUCCGAAACAGCACCCCUAAGGGACUGCAUCUCGCUGGGGCCUCCAAAUGUUGUAAUUCCACUUGGCCCAUGU